rnacentral:rRNA from 1 species
GACGAACGCUGGCGGCGUGCUUAACACAUGCAAGUCGAACGAGACGAUUGAAAGCUUGCUUUCGAAAGUCGAGUGGCAAACGGGUGAGUAACGCGUAGACAACCUGCCUUUGAGAUGGGGACAACAGUUCGAAAGGACUGCUAAUACCGAAUGUUGUAUAUUUUCCACAUGGAAGAUAUAUUAAAGAUGGCCUCUAUUUAUAAGCUAUCGCUCAAAGAUGGGUCUGCGUCUGAUUAGCUGGUUGGUGGGGUAACGGCCUACCAAGGCGACGAUCAGUAGCCGGUCUGAGAGGAUGAACGGCCACAUUGGGACUGAGACACGGCCCAGACUCCUACGGGAGGCAGCAGUGGGGAAUCUUCCACAAUGGACGAAAGUCUGAUGGAGCAACGCCGCGUGAGUGAAGAAGGGUUUCGGCUCGUAAAGCUCUGUUGUCGGGGACGAAUGUGCAGUAUUUGAAUAAAGUACUGCAAUGACGGUACCUGACGAGGAAGCCACGGCUAACUACGUGCCAGCAGCCGCCGUAA